GGUAAUUCCAGCUCCAAUAGCGUAUAUUAAAGUUGUUGCAGUUAAAACGCUCGUAGUCGGAUUUCGGGGCGGGCCGACCGGUCUGCCGAUGGGUAUGCACUGGCCGGCGCGUCCUUCCACCCGGAGACCGCGCCUACUCUUAACUGAGCGGGCGCGGGAGACGGGUCUUUUACUUUGAAAAAAUCAGAGUGUUUCAAGCAGGCAGUCGCUCUUGCAUGGAUUAGCAUGGGAUAAUGAAAUAGGACUCUGGUGCUAUUUUGUUGGUUUCGAACACCGGAGUAAUGAUUAACAGGGACAGUCAGGGGCACUCGUAUUCCGCCGAGAGAGGUGAAAUUCUCAGACCAGCGGAAGACGAACCACUGCGAAAGCAUUUGCCAGGGAUGUUUUCACUGAUCAAGAACGAAAGUUAGGGGAUCGAAGACGAUCAGAUACCGUC
rnacentral:rRNA from 1 species